rnacentral:rRNA from 1 species
UACGGAGGGGGCUAGCGUUGUUCGGAAUUACUGGGCGUAAAGGGCGCGUAGGCGGCCUUCUAAGUCGAACGUGAAAUCCCCGGGCUCAACCCGGGAACUGCGUCCGAUACUGGAAGGCUUGAAUCCGGGAGAGGAUGGUGGAAUUCCCAGUGUAGAGGUGAAAUUCGUAGAUAUUGGGAAGAACACCGAUGGCGAAGGCAGCCAUCUGGACCGACACUGACGCUGAGGCGCGAAAGCGUGGGGAGCAAACAGG